rnacentral:lncRNA from 1 species
CGGUGAUCGCUGAUCGCGGGGGCCGAUCGGGCCCGUCCCCUGCGCGGGUCCACGUCUCUGGGUGUCAAGGGCUUCGACAUCCCCCUCCCCCUCCGUGCAGGCAGCGCCCGCCCGCCCUCCCCCAGGGAUGGGGCCGUGUCCCCAGCGGCGCUGGAGGAUUGGUCCAAAUCAGGGCCGCAGAGGAGAGCUGUGAGAACCUGAACUAGGCCCUGAGAUCUCCCUGAGAAAGUGCCCCCGGGAGCCGCAUGCCCAGGCCUCCCAGGCAAGGUGUGAGAAGCAGGGUCGGGAUUCCAGUGGGACCAACAGUGGAACCAGGGAGAAGACAGCGGCUGCAGGUGCAAGUCCCAGGGGAGAGGAAUCCGGGGGUGCUGAGAAACCGGAGGCAGUAGAGGAGGCCGUGGCCGUGAAGGACCCCGGGCAUCAGUGCCUCCCAGCCAGCUGGGCUUCAUCCGGACUCCAAUUUAUCCAGAAACGUCACAAUCCAUUCCUCAGCCUCUGCUUGUUUGUUCG